UACGGGGGGGGCAAGCGUUGUUCGGAAUUACUGGGCGUAAAGGGCGCGUAGGUGGCCAACUAAGUCAUACGUGAAAUCCCUCAGCUUAACUGGGGAACUGCGUCUGAUACUGGAUGGCUUGAGUUUGGGAGAGGGAUGCGGAAUUCCAGGUGUAGCGGUGAAAUGCGUAGAUAUCGUUUGGAACGCCAAUGGUGAAAACAGGUCGCUGAGAGUGCGCUGACGCUGAGACACGAAAGCCAGGGGAGCGAACGGG
rnacentral:rRNA from 1 species